CUCUGGCUUAUAUAUCACGUCUUAUAUAUCAGACGUGGCUUAUAUAUCAGAUGUCUUUGCCAGGGGUCAUUGUUAGACAGGAAUAUAAGCUUAACACUUAUUAUCAGUCUUCCUUAUUUUAAGCCCAAACUUUUGUUACUAUUCAGUCACAUGAUUUUGGCAAGGUAACUAAGAUCCCUGAGCUCCAAUUUCCUCAUGAAAAUAGUGAAGGAUGUGCAGAUAUAUAUACAUAUAAAAUACAUAUACAUAAAACAUAAAAAUACAUAUAUACGUACGUAUAUACAUAUAUGUGUGUAUAUACGUACGUAUAUACAUAUAUGUGUGUAUGCGUACGUAUAUACAUAUAUGUGUGUAUGCGUACGUAUAUACAUAUAUGUGUGUAUGCGUACGUAUAUACAUAUAUGUGUGUAUGCGUACGUAUAUAAAUAUAUGUGUGUAUGCGUACGUAUAUACAUACAUACAUGCAUGUACAUAUAUACGUAUAUAUGUAUGUACAUAAUGUGUAUAUAUGUACGUACGUACAUAUAUACGGGUAUAUAUGUACGUACAUACAUAGAUAUGGGUAUAUAUGCAUGUAUAUACAUAUAUAUGGGUAUACAUACAUGUAUAUGUAUGUAUGUAUUUUUUUUUCCCAAUGCUGUGAAUUGCUUUGCCUGCUAUGAAGGACCAAAUGCUAUUUUUUCCAGGCACAACUUAAUAUUUUAUUAACUAAAUUAUACUAAAUGUUACCAGUUGCCUAGGGUAAUGUCAUAGUAAGUACUCUGAGAUAAAUUCUUGUCUGCUGUAGGAUUCCUUAAGCUGAAGUCUAUGUUAACUCAGCCAGCACUCCAGCGAUCAGGGUGAUUUUGCUGUGCCACAAAUAUGCCCAGUUUACUGCAUUCUUCUUCAAGGCACUUACCCUCUCUUUAAAGCCUUGAUAACAUUUCCCCUUCUUCCUUUAUGAGCACUUUCAAAGUCUUAAACAUUUUCACCUGAUGACUUCAACAGGUGCAUGUUGGGGACUUGGCAGCUGUGGUUUUCGUCACACACACAGCCGACAUCUGAACAAAGGCACAGACAUUCCUAACCACAAUCCACACAUUGCUUACCUAUUUCCAUCCUCAAAAACUUAAAUUAAUGGAUUUUAAAUUUCUUAAUAUUCCUAGAGAGAGAAAAAGGGCAGGCCCAGGAAUUUAGAUACAAGCCUACAUUCAAAUAACACAUUUCAAUUAGGAGAAUGUAAAAUAUAAACUCUCCUACUAUAUAUAUACUUGAACACUAGAGGGAAAAUCACCCAACAUGUUAAAUAAAAAUUCCACAAGGUAGAUAUUGUAUAGUGUAUCUUUAACUGAAAACACUUCAUGCAACUUUUAUAGUUUCCACGUGCAGCCUAAGCCCUAAUCUGUUUCAAUAAAAUAAAUGUAUGUUGGCUGGGUAUGGUGGCUCACACCUAUAAUCCCAGCAUUUUGGGAGGCCGAGGCAGGCAGAUCACUUGAGGUCAGGAGUUCAAGACCAGCCUGGCCUACAUGGCGAAAACCCUUCUCUACUAAAAAUACAAAAAAAAAAAAAAAAAAAAAAAAUUAGCCAGGUGUGGUGGCAGGUGCCUGUAAUCCCAGCUACUCGGGAGGCUGAGGGAGGAUAAUUGCUUAAACCCAGGAGGCAGAGGUUGCAGUCAGCUGAGAUUGUGCCACUGCACUCCAGCCUGACAGAGGGCGACUGCAUUUCAAAACAAUAAAAAAUAAAAUAAAUAGAGUAAGUGUAUGUAUAGAUUAAAAGUCACCUCUAAUGAAUUAAAGGACACCCAUAAUUAUAACAUGCAAGGGAAAAUAUUAAUAUUUCAGAUGUAUAUACCAAUGAAAACUGGAAAUAAGAACUUGAUUUUAAAAGGUAGCAGUAUCUGAAUUGAAAUAACUAAUUUAACUCUAUGAUG
rnacentral:lncRNA from 10 species